AUUAACUUAGGAAUUUUGUUGGGAAGUAAUGUUGGGUUGUUCACAUUCUAAGAUUUUAUGGUUGCAAAAAUCUCCAAUAGGUUAGAUGGGCAUGAGGGUCCUUUCCUCUUUGUUGGUGGCAUAUCACUCUCCUCCAAGCUCUCAUAUUUUUCAUUUUUGUUUAGAAUUUCUGUGGAUCUUGCUACUAAAUUUGACAAGUUGAUGAGAGAUGUAAUUUGAUCUGUUGUUGCAGGUCACAGGAAGGA
rnacentral:misc_RNA from 1 species